UAUUAAGUUUGGUGACCGUUU
ensembl:piRNA 21ur-381 ncRNA